rnacentral:rRNA from 1 species
AGCGAACGCUGGCGGCAGGCCUAACACAUGCAAGUCGAACGCCCCUUCGGGGGAGUGGCGGACGGGUGAGUAACGCGUGGGAAUGUGCCCUUUGGUACGGAACAACUGAGGGAAACUUCAGCUAAUACCGUAUGUGCCCUACGGGGGAAAGAUUUAUCGCCAUUGGAGCAGCCCGCGUUGGAUUAGGUAGUUGGUGGGGUAAUGGCCCACCAAGCCGACGAUCCAUAGCUGGUCUGAGAGGAUGAUCAGCCACACUGGGACUGAGACACGGCCCAGACUCCUACGGGAGGCAGCAGUGGGGAAUCUUGCGCAAUGGGCGAAAGCCUGACGCAGCCAUGCCGCGUGAAUGAUGAAGGUCUUAGGAUUGUAAAAUUCUUUCACCGGGGAAGAUAAUGACGGUACCCGGAGAAGAAGCCCCGGCUAACUUCGUG